GGCAUAAGAGGAGUUUGACCAGUACCUAGGGUCAUAUCCCUAAGUCCUAAUGGAGUGGAUACUGAAGUAGAUAAAAUGCUUAUGGGAGAGACAGAAGUUAAGUGGCUUCCAUGGGGUGUACCUGUAUCAAUUACAGAAAAUUGUGCAGACCUAACCGUUGGUGGAUCCUCAGACAUAACAGUUGGUAUAACAGGAGUUGAUGAAAGGAGAUUGGAAAAAGAUAUGCCAUGGAUUCUUCAAAUUCAGCAUUAACUACAUAGCGUUAAAGGUAAAAUACUAUCCUCCAAAGUAGAUUUCUGGAUAGUACAAUUAGACCAAACUAAUGAUAAAAUGUCUAAGUUAUAUCAUAUAAA